UCCCUGGUGGUUCAGUGGUGAGGACUCUGAGCUUCCAGUGCCAGAGCUCUGGGUUCAAUCCCUGGCCAGGGGA
rnacentral:tRNA from 1 species